ACUUGUUUUCAAAUUUUAAUUAAUUAAUAUAUAUCGCCUCUGAGCUAUGAUCAAUAGCUGAACAGUAGAAUAAUUUAUCAACAUUUAAAAAACAUAAACAAUCAAAAAAAAAACCAAAGAAGCAAAAAAUGUAAUCAUUACAAAAAAUCACAUAACAGAUUGUCAAAGUAGUGUCCCUUGUUUGAUCGUCUGAAAAGAAAACAUCACAUUAAUGUUUGUAUGACCUCAAUUUGUUUUGGCCUAAAUGGCCACCAGAUCAACAUGACAUAUGGCCCGAUUUAUUGCCAAUCUAAAAUAUGCACAGAUUGACCAACACUUUGGAUUUCACUUAACUAGCUUGAUCUGUGAUAUGUUUGAAUGAAAUCGAU